CCCUUAGAUGUCCUGGGCCGCACGCGCGCUACACUGAACGGAUCAGCGCGUUUUCCCUUCCCGAGAGGGACGGGUAACCUGCUGAACCCCGUUCGUGGUAGGGAUCGGGGCUUGCAAUUAUUCCCCGUGAACCAGGAAUGCCCAGUAAGUGCAAGUCAUAAGCUUGCGUUGAUUACGUCCCUGCCCUUUGUACACACCGCCCGUCGCCACUACCGAUUGAACGUUUUAGUGAGGUACUCGGACUGAGCCUCAGAAGAUUCACGUCUUUUGUGCUGCUCGGGAAGAUUCCCAAACUUGAGCGUUUAGAGGAAGUAAAAGUCGUAACA
rnacentral:rRNA from 1 species